CCUACGGGAGGCAGCAGUAGGGAAUAUUGGUCAAUGGUCGGGAGACUGAACCAGCCAAGCCGCGUGAGGGAUGAAGGUCCAAAGGAUCGUAAACCUCUUUUGUCAGGGAACAAAUGCGGGCACGCGUCCCCUUAUGAGUGUACCUUAAAAAAAAACAUCUGCUAACUCCGGUCCAGCAGCCGCGGUAAUACGGGGGAUGCGAGCGGUAUCCGGAUUGAGUUGGUUUAAAGGGUGCGGAGGCGGUGUUUUAAGUCAGCGGUAAAAUCUCGGGGCUAAACCCCGGCCCGCCGUUGAAACUGGCGGUCUUGAGUGGGAGAGAAGUAUGCGGAAUGCGUGGUGUAGCGGUGAAAUGCAUAGAUAUCGCGCAGAACUCCGAUUGCGAAGGCAGCAUACCGGCGCCAAACUGACGCUGAGGCACGAAAGCGUGGGUAUCGAACAGGAUUAGAUACCCGAGUAGUC
rnacentral:rRNA from 1 species